rnacentral:rRNA from 1 species
AGUAACACGUGGAUAACCUACCUAUAAGACUGGGAUAACUUCGGGAAACCGGAGCUAAUACCAGAUAAUAUAUUGAACCGCAUGGUUCAAUAGUGAAAGACGGUUUUGCUGUCACUUAUAGAUGGAUCCGCGCCGCAUUAGCUAGUUGGUAAGGUAACGGCUUACCAAGGCAACGAUGCGUAGCCGACCUGAGAGGGUGAUCGGCCACACUGGAACUGAGACACGGUCCAGACUCCUACGGGAGGCAGCAGCA